UACGUAGGGGGCUAGCGUUGUCCGGAAUCAUUGGGCGUAAAGCGCGUGUAGGCGGUCCGGUAAGUCCGCUGUGAAAGUCGGGGGCUCAACCCUCGGAUGCCGGUGGAUACUGUCGGGCUUGAGUACGGAAGAGGCGAGUGGAAUUCCUGGUGUAGCGGUGAAAUGCGCAGAUAUCAGGAGGAACACCAAUUGCGAAGGCAGCUCGCUGGGACGUUACUGACGCUGAGACGCGAAAGCGUGGGGAGCAAACAGGAUUAGAAACCCCCGUAGUCC
rnacentral:rRNA from 1 species